UGCCUAACACAUGCAAGUCGAACGAGAAAGUGGGCUUCGGCCCGCGAGUACAGUGGCAGACGGGUGAGUAACACGUGGGUAACCUACCCGGAGGUGGGGGAUAACCCUUCGAAAGGAGUGGCUAAUACCGCAUGACAUCCCCGGGGCCUCGGCCCUGGAGAUCAAAGCUUGCCUCUACACUGUAAGCAAGCUGCCACCGGAGUGGGCCCGCUGCCCCAUUAGCUUGUUGGUGAGUGUAAAGGCUCACCAAGGCGACGAUGGGUAGCCGGCCUGAGAGGGUGUCCGGCCACACUGGAACUGAGACACGGUCCAGACUCCUACGGGAGGCAGCAGUGAGGAAUUUUGCGCAAUGGGCGAAAGCCUGAACGCAGCGACGCCGCGUGGAGGACGAAGGCCUUCGGGUCGUAAACUCCUGUCAAGCAGGACGAAACCCGGGCGGAUGAAUAAGCCGUCCGGUUGACGGUA
rnacentral:rRNA from 1 species